GGGCGUAUGGUCUAGUGGUACGACGUCUCAUUUGCAAAUAAUUGUUCGUUGCUCUGAAACUGUUCCAAUUCUGUAAUAGUUGCAUGGCUUGAAUGAUACACGGCUCCUUGAGAAGGUCCCGGGUUCGAACCCCGGUACGUCCA
rfam:Podospora anserina genomic DNA, chromosome 3.